rnacentral:rRNA from 2 species
UACAGAGGUCCCAAGCGUUGUUCGGAUUCAUUGGGCGUAAAGGGUGCGUAGGUGGCGUCGUAAGUCGGGUGUGAAAUUUCGGAGCUCAACUCCGAAACUGCAUUCGAUACUGCGGUGCUUGAGGACUGGAGAGGAGACUGGAAUUUACGGUGUAGCAGUGAAAUGCGUAGAGAUCGUAAGGAAGACCAGUGGCGAAGGCGGGUCUCUGGACAGUUCCUGACACUGAGGCACGAAGGCCAGGGGAGCAAACGGG